GUUAGCCGUAUGCGGGAAAUCCGCACGUACGGUUUGAUGAGGAGGAGCAGGGAAACCUGCUCCUUACUCUAC
rfam:Geobacteraceae bacterium GWC2_58_44 gwc2_scaffold_7671, whole genome shotgun sequence.